CAGAUGCCAAGUUGAUGAGAAACAUCUAGUUAAUGUUUAGUUUAUGGUUCUGAAGAAUAAUGAUUAUUUUAGCAUACUCCUUUCCCCUGGAACCCGAUGCUAUUGUUUUACCAGUCAUGUGUAUAAAUAGCCAACAGGAAUGACGAGUUACAAACACCUUAAUUUGUUGCUUUAUUAAGAGAUGGAGGCUGUCUGUGUUCUGCUGCUGUUGCUGUGUUGCUGCAGUCUGUCUGGUGCGCAAGUUGAGAGCAGUAGUGAGGGAAACGUCACAAACGAAAUCUCUCAACGCUUUGACGACAAAGUAGGAAACAACUUGAUGAAAGAGCUGAUGGAGAGUCUCGGUGAAGUGGCAGGCACCACCGGCUCCCGAUCGGACAUCUACACUGUGCUGAGAGAACUUAGUGCCAAAGUGGAAAAUCUGGAGACGGCAGAGAGACAUAAGGUGGCGUUCUCAGCCUCACUCUUCCCAUCAUCUCAACACAGAGGGCCCUUUAAUGUUGACACCAUCCUGAUAUUCACGAAUGUUAUCACAAACAUUGGCCAAGCUUACAACUCUGGAACAGGUGUCUUUGCUGCACCGGUGAGAGGGGUCUACUACUUCACGUUCACUUGCAAUUCUGGGACUACAGGAAAAGUGAAUGCGGCCCUGUUGAAGAAUGGCCAAAAAAUAGCUGCAGUGAUUGAAAAUGGUCAUGUUGACAGCAUGGGGUCAAAUAGUGUAAUACUGCAGUUAGAUGAAGGUGAUCAUGUUAACAUUAUCCUCUGGAGUGACAACAGCAUCUAUGAUAAUGGAUACAGGAGCACAUUCACUGGUGUCCUGCUCUUUCCAAUGUGAGGAGAGCAUAACAUUUGCUUUUUGUAUGUGUAAUGAUUGUAAAGUUUUGUAGGAAUGUAUGUACUAUAAUCAAACACUGAUGCUCGUCUUCCUUCAGGAAAUACUGCAGGUGCAUUUCUCCAACGUUUAUGCAAACAGGAUUCUGAAGGUUUUACAAAUGUAUGAUUUAUAAAGAAUCACCAAUACAGUAAAACUGGUUUAUCAAACGUCACAGAUGCAUAGGAACCCCCCCCCACUAAGAUAUCCAGCACUAACUAGAGUGAGCCUGAGCACACUGUACUAGAGCAUAUGUGUAAGGACCGACGCCAGAGAUGAGAAGCAGGUACGGGGAGUCAACAUUUAAUCAGGAACAAACAGGUAACAGGACAGGAACAGUAUCAGCACACGGGUAAACAUGGAUAUAUGACAAUCAAUGCAGAAGCAGGGAACAGAGUUGGGAACCAGACAGAUAUAGGGAAAGUAAUGACAGAAGUGAUUGAGUCUAGGUGAGUCCAAUAAUCGCUGAUGCGUGUGACGGGGGGGAGGCAGGUGUGCGUAAUGAUGAUGGCAGGAGUGAGAAGUUCUGGUGAGCCUGGUGCCCUCGAGCGCCAGGGGGGAAGAGCAGGCGUGACAAUAUGUUCAGUUGAAUUGAAUUUCUUUCGCUUAUGUAACCAAGGAGCCUCGGAAACGGAAUGCACCAUACAUACUGCAGUCUCACAGAAAACAGUUUUGUUAACAUAACCUGAUUUAAUAAAAAUCAUUUUUGUUCUGUUCUGGUAAAUAAAACAAAUAUAAGGAUCCAACCUA